rnacentral:rRNA from 1 species
ACGCCCGACAUGGUACGCCACCUAGAGGAUGGCUUGGCUCAGGCGCCGAAGAAGGGCGUGGCAAGCUGCGAUAAGCCUCGGGUAGGAGCAAGCAUCCUUCGAUCCGAGGAUCCCCUAAUGGGAUACCUUCCUCCGGCGCGCGCAAGCGCGCUGUAGGAACACCCGAAAGGGUGGGGAAACCCGCCGAAAGGAAACAUCUGAGUAGGCGGAGGAAGAGAAAUCAAACGAGAUUCCCCUAGUAACGGCGAGUGAAAAGGGAAGAGCCCAAACCGAACCGCGGGCCGAAAGGCUCGUGGGAUGUGGGGUUGAGGACCGGGCCACCUCUCUGCCUGCGAAGCCGAAGAGGCCUGGAAAGGCCCACGAAAAUGGGUGAUAGUCCCGUAGGCGUAAGCCGGCGUGAGCUGGGCCCGAGUUCCAGAGUACCGCGCCUCGGAUAUGGCGCAGGAAGCUGGGAGGUAUUCACUUCCAAGGCUAAAUACGUCCUGAGACCGAUAGCGCACCAGUACGGUGACGGAAAGCUGAAAAGAACCCCGAGAGGGGUGUGAAAAGAGCCUGAAACUAGGUGGUUACAGACGUUCACGGCCUGAAAGGGUUUGAAUCCCCCAAAAGUUGCCGGUCGAGAGGCCGGAGGCGAUGGGGGGCUACCAGGGUCGUGAGGUUCGUCUUGAAACACGAGCCGGGGAGUUUAUGGUCGUGGCAAGCCUAAGGGGGCCUAUCCCCGUAAGCGCAGGGAAGCCGACUUGCCCGCAACCGCCUUCGCGCGGCGAGGGGCGGGGUAGCGAUUGCCCGGAGUCACGAUCAUAAGACUAGAAACCGAACGAUCUAAUCCUGGGCAGGGCGAAGCCGGGCGAAAGCCCGGUGGAGGCCCGAAAGGGUCUUGACGUGCAAUUCAGUCCUCUGACCUGGGAUUAGGGGACAAAAACCAAUCUAGUUCGGUGAUAGCUAGUUCCUUCCGAAAUGGAUCUCAGUCCAGCCCGCCCGGAGGAGGUUGGCAGGGUAGAGCACUGAUCGACAGGCAAGGCCUCGAAAGAGUCCACCUGUCUUUCAAACUCCGAAUCUGCCAACACCGUAGAUGGGCGGAGACGGGUUCCGGGGGGUAAGCUCCUGGACCGAGAGGGGAACAACCCAGACUAGGGUUAAGGUCCCUAAAUGCUGGCUAAGUGUCACACCGAAAGGCGUCUGGGCUCUUAGACAGCGGGAAGGUAGGCUUAGAAGCAGCCAUCCUUUAAAGAGUGCGUAACAGCUCACCCGCCGAGAGUCCAGGCCCUGAAAAUGGACGGGGCUCAAGCCAGCUGCCGAUACCCUGGAGCGCAGCCUCAGGCUGCGUCUGGUAGGAAGGCGUCCGAGUUGGGCCGAAGCCGGGCCGUGAGGUCCGGUGGACCGACUUGGAUUGCAGAUCCCGGUGGUAGUAACAGCUAAGACAGGUGAGAAUCCUGUCCGCCUGAAGGACAAGGGUUCCCCGGCAACGCGUCGUCAACCGGGGGUUAGUCGAUCCUAAGGCCUCGUUUAACAUGCGAGGUCGAACAAGGGAAGCCGGUUUAUAUUCCGGCACCAGGGGGGUACGCGCGGUAACGCAAGCCCUCGCGCCGACGCUUCGGGGAAGGUUGAGCGGGGCUGUCGCCCCGUCUAACUGUCCAAACCUGGGGAGUACCGUAAAGGUGAGAACCAGGCGAAGGCAGGAAUGGCUUGCCGUUAGGCGAGUUCAGCCGGGCCCUGGAGCCAUGGAAAAGGUGCGGGGGACGGAUCCCUCCUGAUCGUACCAAGAUCCGACACUGGUGUUCCUGCGUGAGAAGCGCAAGGCGUCUCGGGGUAUUCCACGGCGAGGGAACUUGGCAAUCUAGCCCCGUAACUUUGGGAUAAGGGGUGCCUGAGACUGGGCUUCGGCUUGGCCUCAGGUCGCAGUAACUAGGGGGUCCCGACUGUUUACUAAUCGGGCAAAGGCGCCGGCCAAAUGGAGAUGGAAAAAGGAAAUCCCCGGGGACGGAAGCCUCGAGAAAACCUGUGCCUGCUGCGUUCCAACAGACCGGACGAAUUCGAAGCGCGUAUCGAAACGGCAAAGGCAAAGCUCAUGCGAGAACGAAAAUGAACCGGUGAUAAUGAAGUUCUUCGGCCCAGAGGUUCGUUGCGGAUUUGUUUGGUGCAGGGGCACGCUGAAGAUGGUGUCGUUGCAAGAGUUCGCGUUCCGUUGUAGUAUUCUUGGAACCUUGCGCGGAGGGCUNNNNNNNNNNNNNNNNNNNNNNNNNNNNNNNNNNNNNNNNNNNNNNNNNNNNNNNNNAAAGGCGCGCUUGCCCGGGUAACAAACACAGGGAGCCGCUAGUCCGAAAGGAUGUGCACGGCUCUUGAAUCCUGGCCAGUAGCGGUAUCUGAAUCUCAGGUUCAACUGAGCCAAGGACCGCUAAACGCCCGAGGUAACUCUGACCUUGUUAAGGUAGCCAAAUGCCUUGUCGGGUAAGUUCCGACGUGCUUGAAUGGAGCAACGAGGGCCCCGCUGUCCCCGCCUGGAUCCCGGUGAACCCACAUAACGUGGCUGCACAGUCCACGACCUCCCAACGGGACA